AAAGGGUGAACUAGUGUGUUUCCAUAGAUUACCUCUGUAUGAAUGUACUUCUUAAAUGAAGGCAAGUGUUUGUCCUUUUUUGUUCCUCAGGUACAGUACGUGAUAUUAAGGGCAGGCGGUCAUCACUGGGGGAAGACAAGAAGCAGACGUACUUCCAAGAGGGAGCUGCAGUGAGGACACAGCCUGGUCACUGAGGUCAGAGGAGGCGCUGAAAGGUUUCCCUAAUAGUUCCUGGUGAAUCAAAGCAGAACCAUAAAGGUUGCUGGACUGCAUGAUGGCCUUACCCCUGAGCAGUCAUCCUGUUAAAAGAGGAACCAGUUAGAAGCUGUUUUCAAAGUAGCUGAGCAGAUUUCAUCUCAACAGACAAAGCCGAUGGCAGAAGAUCUUUGGAGAAGAACUUCAGGCCGUGUACUGACAAGAUCAAAGCAGCUCGUGCUAUUUCUGCUUCAAUUUUGAUGGCAAGAAGAAGAAAAAGAAGAAGAAGAAGACUUCAGCGAAGUGGCGUUCAUGGUCUCAGUGGACAGUCAUGGUCACACACUGCAUGUGGUUUUAAAAGCAACAUGUCUGUUCACCACAACAAUCGAGAUGUGUAAUAUCAGUGCAGCUACGGUUUGUUCUUGAACAUCAGUUCUGUUUUCUACUUUGACCACUUAGACCAAAAAAGUGUUGU